AUGUCAUUUCAAGAAAUUUACCAUGUGUACAGCCAUCAUGCACAAGGAACAUUCUUCAUCCUUUUCGAAUAUUUUGUCACCCAAAAUGUCUUUGGUCCAUGCUUCACACUCGUUCUAAGUUUCCAACCACAUCCUUGAACACGACACUUAGACACAUACAGAGUUUUCGUUGUCUUAUAUACUGAGAAUGUAAAUUUAUAUUCCACAGCCACCGACUUCAGCUUUGAAACAAGCUCAGCAUUACUAGCAAAACUAUAAACGAAGACUUACAAAUACGUCUACAAUUAUUAGCUAACAACAUUGUCAAAUCAAAUUAAUUAUACCUUCAUAAUUAUAAAAAAAAUUAUUUUCAAAAUCACUCAAACUAUUAGGAUUAACUAACAC
rnacentral:lncRNA from 1 species